UCGUCGGCAGCAGCACUUGUGAAGAGCCGGCGUGAGCGGGAGGAUACUCUGUAGCUGUGGCUUUAGGUGCUACGGCAGGAUGUAGAUCCGGCAGAGGGAGGAAUGCAGAGGGAUAUGGUGAUAGGGGGCCCUUACCACAAAUGGGCAGAUGGUUGCCAGCUUGCCUUCAGGGUCUUCAACAAGGAUGUUGUGCUUGCUUCACAUAGUCAUUGUGGCUACAUCGAUCCCUGAAAUCAUGCCUGCUACCUGUUGUAGUUCCCAGUUUGCUAGCUAUUCUGAGCGGGCAAUGAUGGUCACGUAUGAACCAGUGUCCAGCAUCCUUGGUCAGUAGAUCUUCUCUCCUUUGCAGGAUGGACCACACUCGAUGGUAGGCUUACUUGGACCCACAACUUGUGCCCACAUUGCUGUAGGGUUGAGAGGAAGUCUUUCCCUGUGAUUCUUUGGGAGUAAAAAGGCUUGUACAAUCGGGGUUCCCUAUGAAACAGCACAGCUGGACAAAGAUUUCUUGUCCUGGGUGCACUGUUUGUUCUUCUAGAAGAACAAAGAUUUCUUCUGGACCAUGCAAAGUGUCACCUAUAAUUAAAAUGUCAAAAGGACCACCUUUUGGCCUAUGCUUUCCUGUGGGAGUACGCUAAACAUCCUCAUUAUUAAAAUCAAUGGACAGAGUAGUUUCCGGUUGGCGCCAGGUUCCCAUCUUUAUGGCUCCGUGUGUUGGAUCCUCUUCAUGUGACAUGGAAUCUCCUGAGAUGAUGUGUGGUUAGAUCUGAAUGGCUUUUGAUUUGUCUUUGUGCAGGGCCUGGCUGCGCUCCGCUGGAAGUUUCCCAAGCACUGCUGGUAGCACUGCUGGUAGAACUGCUGGUAGCACUGCUGGUAGCACUGCUGACUCUGGGGUUUUUGGUGGGUGUUGUAGGAGUUUCGGAUAGGUGACCUAACUGGGCAGUCCUUUAUAAAAUGUCCAAAGUCUCCACAGUGAUAGCAGCGGGCCUGGUCUUUGGAAGUCACUACUGCAAAUGCACCAGAAACUCCUGCAAUACCCUUAGCAACUGCUUGGGCCACUGUGUUUUCAGUGGACAAAUGACAUGUACAGCUUUCCACCAUUUGCUCUAUGGUAGGUUCUGUAUCCAAGGGUAGGGCCCUCAGAAUUUUUUUACAUUGUUCAUUAGCAUUCCUCAUAGCAAGUUUACACAAAAGCUCCUUUCUUGCCUCUAUGCUCUCUAUCUGUUUUUCCAGAGCAUCCUUAAUUCUGUCCACAAACUCGAGAAAGCUUUCAUCUAGUUCUUGUUUAAUAUUAGAGAAGCGUUGGGUAGGAAUAGAGUCAUCUGGGGUAAGAAGUAAGGAGGUUUUUGCUUUAAUAGCCAAGUCCUGUAGUGCCACCUCAGACAAGGUGUUAGCUUGGUCAGAGGGCUUCUGAUAAUCCCCUUCUCUAGCCAGCUGUUCGACUGUAAAAUUUGGCCUAUUUGCAUCUUGAGAAUAGGUGUCUGAUAAUGUUUUUAAUUGUCUUUUCCAAUGCCUUUCCCACAGCAUAUAUUCUGCCAGGGAAAGAAGACAGUGGGCAAUAUUUUUAACAUAGUGAGGCACUAAAACAUGUGCCAAGAAGAUAGCUUCUAGGAAAUUUUUAAAAAUAUGUGAACUUCUACCAUGUUCUUUUGCCACUUUACGGAGUUGUAUGAGCUCUUUGUGUUAGGUUCCCAUGUUGUUUUAGUGGAGGCAUCUUCUCUUCUUCCCUUUAUAUAAAUUACUGAGAAGGCAGAAAUUUUCUGAGCCAGUUCCCAAUCCCCUUUGUUCACAAGGCAUGCUUUUCGUGGCUUAGUGCCCGAGAGCAUCCAGACGUCCGUAAUUCUUUGUUUAAAACAAAGAAUUGUCCUUUAUGGUCCUAACUCUGAUUGUCUAAAUCCUUAUUGCUCUAAUUUUUAUUACUGUUUUUAUACUAUUAAACUUUUAAAAAAUUUAAAACAAGUGAUUGGCAUUUUUCACAAUUAUGGUAGCAGAGGAUGGUUUCUAACACCUCUCUGCCAGUGCCUUAGGAGAAUCAGGGUGAGGAAGACGCAUCCUGCCCUGUUAUGCAGCCUUGCUCUGUUCCUUUAGUGUGGCUGACAGAUGCAGGUUACCAUCAAUGGCCAAAAGGAGGCAAUAAAACAAAGGGAAUGAAUUCCCUAAAACCGCAGUAAUUAGCCCCUGAGACUAAAGUGUAUGUGAAGAACAAAGACCCAAGGACAAAGAGAGGCGGGCUGGUUAUCCCAGACCUGCCAAGUGAUUGCGGUAGUCUCUCAUGCUGCGUUUCAGUCUUUUUUGCGAGAAAAGCAGCCAGUAAAGAGACGAAGCUAGUGAUAAAAAAGAGUGAGAGAAUCCCCCCCUGGGGAAACUGGGACUGGGUCUUAGGGAAGGAGUGGAACCCCUUGGAGAGAAGAAGCCAAGAGUUUUUCUGGCAUAAUCCACUAGGGAAAAUAGAAGAAAUAGUGUGAAAGGGGCCCCUAAAAAUUAUGCUGGAUUGAGGGAUAAGAGUGCCCAAGAACAUCCAGGAUUCAAACCUGCUGGGUUGAGGGAUUAACGUUCCAAGAGCAUCCAGGGUUGAGCAAAAUUCUGCCGGAUUGAGGAUAUGCCCAAGAGCAUCCAGGGUUGGACAACACAGCUGGAUUGAGGGAUAAAAAUGCCCAAGAGCAUCUGGGGUUGGACAACAUAGCUGGAUUGAGGGAUAUCCAAGAGCACCAGGACGGGUCAGUAACACCUAAAAGUGUAAUCGGUUAAUUGAAAGUAAAAGGCACCUUGUUGUCUUAUUGUGUGUGUGAAGGUGGGUCCUGCACCAACAAGCCGUUUCCCCUGCGGCUGGGGACUGAGGCAAAACCCGCAAAACAAGCCUUGUCCCGGGUGUGAGGGGGAAGUUGUGACUACUAAGUGUGAGUCACAUGCAGACAGCCUCAAAGGUGAACUGGCACAAGAGGCAACCGAAUUAAGGGCACUUCCCGGAGGCCUGGUGGUACUGAAGUCCAGAGAGGCUGACCCCAAAGCAAGGGUAGUUGUGUAACCCGUUCCCUGGGGGGGGGGGUGUGGUAGGUAAGGGACAGGCGAACGGAAGAUUUCGGGGUGUGACGGAAAGAUAGACCCAUCCCCCUCUCUCUCUCUCUCUCUCUCUUCCCCACUUAUCUAUUAACUCCAGAAGCCUCAGAGGAAUGCAGCCACACCGGCCCUAGUAAAUUUCCACUACCCACUAACCCCUGAGACCCCCAACCCCCCUCUGACGUAGCAAAGACCCCUAAAAGCUAUUUAAACCCACGAGAUAGGAUAAUAAACGCUUUUCAACCGUCUGC